UACGGAGGGUCCAAGCGUUGUCCGGAAUUAUUGGGUGUAAAGGGUGUGUAGGCGGGACUGUAAGUCAGGGGUGAAAGCCUACGGCGUAACCGUAGAAUUGCCUUUGAUACUGCAGUCCUUGAGUCCCGGAGAGGCUACUAGAAUUCGUGGUGUAGCGGUGAAAUGCGUAGAUAUCACGAGGAAUACCAAAAGCGUAGGCGGGUAGCUGGACGGGCACUGACGCUGAGGCACGAAAGCGUGGGGAGCAAACAGG
rnacentral:misc_RNA from 1 species